GCUUAAACGAAACAAAAAAAACCAAGCAUGGAGCAAAACCGUUUGGCAAAACAUUUUCAUAAAAAUUCUUGAAGCAGUCAAAAUCUCUUCUGAUUUUAUUUUAAUAAACUUUUACAACGGUAAACUGGUUUAUUGAAUAAAUUGUUAAAGGGUUGCAAAUAAACUGAAAUUCGUUUUUCUGUUUUCUGUGCUAGUCCGGCUAGUAGAGGAAACCGAAUUUCAUUUUAUUUGCAAUCAAGCAAUUAUAUUUAAUAAACAAAGCUACGAUAGUAACAUAAGUUUCCCAAAUAUGCGGUGUUGCUAGAUUUAAGCAUUUGUUGUAAUAUAGGUUCAGUUAAACAAGCAGAGCAUCGGAGAGUGUGAAACUUUGAAGCCUUCCUAACACAAAAAAGCAAAAAUCUCAUAGAAAGGAAAUCCAGUUUAUGAUCAUGUGGGUCUCCUUUGCCAAAGCCAACUAUCUGGUAAAAGGAACUCCAUUUUUGAAUCCCACUUCAACUCGUCUGAACUGCCGAUGUAAGUUCAUUCUAUUGAAGCCUUAGUCCUGAGUGAAGUUCCUUUACUCAAUGCCAGCUACAGAUGCAAAGUGAAGAAAACUCUUGUCCACAUUCGCACAAAACCUGCUGCUCCAAUCAAAAUCGGACUCUAACAAAGAGAUUCGUAAGGAUCAGGCCACGUGGGAUGAUCCCAUAGUAAUUCGUCAGGUUAUAUUUUUACUGUCUCUCUUGAUCAGUUGUUGUAUAGAUUUUCCAAUUGCCUUAUUUAAGCCAAAGAAAUGUAAUUUUAAAAUUGAAAUCUAUAUUUGAUGUAUUGUUCAUUACAAUAAUAUGCUAGACGUG